rnacentral:rRNA from 1 species
AACGAACGCUGGCGGCGUGCCUAACACAUGCAAGUCGCGCGAGAAAAGGGGGCAACUCCUGAGUAAAGCGGCGAACGGGUGAGUAACACGUAGGUGAUCUACCCUCGAGUCCAGGAUAACCUACCGAAAGGUGGGCUAAUACCGGAUAUGACCACGGGAAUCUCGGUUCCUGCGGUGAAAGGUGGCCUCUGCUUGCAAGUUACCGCUCGGAGAUGAGCCUGCGCGCCAUUAGCUAGUUGGUGGGGUAACGGCCCACCAAGGCUAUGAUGGCUAGCUGGCCUGAGAGGAUGGCCAGCCACACUGGGACUGAAACACGGCCCAGACUCCUACGGAGGCAGCAGUGGGGGAUAUUGCGCAAUGGGCGAAAGCCUGACGCAGCGACGCCGCGUGGGUGAUGAAGGCC